UACAGGGGUCCCGAGCGUUGUUCGGAUUCACUGGGCGUAAAGGGUGCGUAGGUGGCGUGGUAAGUUUGAUGUGAAGGCUCAGGGCUUAACCCUGAAAUGGCAUUGAAUACUACUAUGCUGGAGGUUUGGAGGGGGGACUGGAAUUCUUGGUGUAGCAGUGAAAUGCGUAGAUAUCAAGAGGAACACCAGUGGCGAAGGCGAGUCCCUGGACAACACCUGACACUGAGGCACGAAAGCUAGGGGAGCAAACAGG
rnacentral:rRNA from 1 species